AGACCCAUGUACUUGUUUUUAAUAUAAAAUAUAUUUCUUCUAUGCUUGUGGGAUAGAUUUAAAGUACCAUAAUUUGAAGAGGGAGGGUUUCUCACUGUCCUCCUAUAUAGAAUGGCUCAACAGAAAACU
rnacentral:snoRNA from 1 species